rnacentral:rRNA from 4 species
GCGGUGGUCCCACCUGACCCCAUGCCGAACUCAGAAGUGAAACGCCGUAGCGCCGAUGGUAGUGUGGGGUCUCCCCAUGCGAGAGUAGGACACUGCCAGGCA